rnacentral:tRNA from 1 species
GGCAUCGUAGCUCAGCCAGUAGAGCGUGCAAUAUACGAAAACGUAAGCGGUGUCCAUGCGUGGGUUCGAAUCCCACCGAAGCUA